GAAUCUUGCUCAGUACAAGAGGAACUGCAGACCCAGAUGUUUGGUAAUUGUACUUGGCUGAGGAGCCACUGGAGUGAGGCUGCUCUCUGUGGGAAUACGACUGAACCUCUAAGUCAGAAUACCCC
rnacentral:ncRNA from 1 species